CAGUCGCCACGGGAAUACGGAGGGUGCAAGCGUUAAUCGGAAUUACUGGGCGUAAAGCGCACGCAGGCGGUUUGUUAAGUCAGAUGUGAAAUCCCCGAGCUUAACUUGGGAACUGCAUUUGAAACUGGCAAGCUAGAGUCUUGUAGAGGGGGGUAGAAUUCCAGGUGUAGCGGUGAAAUGCGUAGAGAUCUGGAGGAAUACCGGUGGCGAAGGCGGCCCCCUGGACAAAGACUGACGCUCAGGUGCGAAAGCGUGGGGAGCAAACAGGAUUAGAUACCCCGGUAGUCCCUGUCUCUUAUAU
rnacentral:rRNA from 1 species